rnacentral:lncRNA from 1 species
GAACACAGAGGUGGUAAAUGAAAAGAAAAAGACGAAUCAAGCAGGAGCAUUGUUGCUGUGGGUCCCGUGCUUCCCUAAAACGUAGAGCACAGAUUGUGUGCGGGUACAGAGGUCAGGGGAGAUAACGCAGCUGCUGGCAGAUGAGAUCUUGCUGUUGGCAAUGGGAUGUGGCUUAGAAAUGAAGGGGAGGCAGCCAGGGAACCGGGGUAACAGGAGGAAGACCUCAAAAGCUAGACCAGGGUUAUGUCAGGUACUUGCCAAGGGAUGGUCAGGAAUCUACUUAAAUUGAAAGAUUUUGGUAUAGAAUGUAGAGGAGAGGAAAGAUUGGUUUUCAUUGCCAAAUCGGUCUCUAUG